UACGUAGGGACCAAGCGUUGUUCGGAUUUACUGGGCGUAAAGGGCGCGUAGGCGGCAAUUCAAGUCAGCUGUGAAAUCUCCGGGCUUAACUCGGAAUGGUCAGCUGAUACUGCUUUGCUAGAGUGCAGAAGGGGCAAUCGGAAUUCUUGGUGUAGCGGUGAAAUGCGUAGAUAUCAAGAGGAACACCUGAGGUGAAGACGGGUUGCUGGGCUGACACUGACGCUGAGACGCGAAAGCGUGGGGAGCAAACAGG
rnacentral:rRNA from 1 species